CGUAGGGUGCGAGCGUUGUCCGGAAUUAUUGGGCGUAAAGGGCUCGUAGGCGGUUUGUCGCGUCGGGAGUGAAAUCCAUGGGCUUAACUUAUGGCUUGCUUUCGAUACGGGCAGACUAGAGGUAUGCAGGGGAGAACGGAAUUCCUGGUGUAGCGGUGAAAUGCGCAGAUAUCAGGAGGAACACCGGUGGCGAAGGCGGUUCUCUGGGCAUGAUCUGACGCUGAGGAGCGAAAGUGUGGGGAGCGAACAGGAUUAGAUACCCUGGUAGUCCACACCGUAAACGUUGGGCGCUAGGUGUGGGGCCCAUUCCACGGGUUCCGUGCCGCAGCUAACGCAUUAAGCGCCCCGCCUGGGGAGUACGGCCGCAAGGCUA
rnacentral:rRNA from 1 species